rnacentral:lncRNA from 1 species
AAAAGAGCAGAGCUGGGAGACCAGGGAGGAUGUAGCUGCAGGAAUCCCAGGAAUGCAGGUGAGGGCUGGAGGCGGUUGCCCUGCAGGUGAGUGAUGGGAGAGGCCAGAGGGGCCAGCGAGGUGUGGGUCUGGAGCCAGCAGAUCAUGUUUUCUGUCUGUCCUUCCUCCACGACGAUGUACUCUUUAGGAGCCGAGUGACGAUGACCUGUGGAUGAGCAGCCUGGGAUGCCCCUGUCCCCAGCCUCUUCAACCUGACACAAGUUUGCAUUCUAUGCUCUCUUUCUUUGGAACAAGGAUUGACUCCUAAGUGGCAUCUGGAGAAGGCCGAGCUUCCUGCAGGGACCUGAAGAGGGUUUUUAGAAACAGAAACGGAGUCAUCAGAUUGCUCACAGUGGCCAAAUCUUGCCCUAAAGUCAAAGCUCUGAAGCACUGCACUAAAGAGCUCUUGGAACACCCGUGGAUUCCCAAGGAAAGGAAUGGAUAAAGUUGUGAGCAACAGAGGUGGUGGCCGUGGGGGCGGGUGCCCAGGGGAGAAGGCAGCCAUUUCCUUUGUCUUUCCUCUAUUCUUCCUGGAUGCAAUUUUCCACCCAGGUUUUCUCUGUUGGGUGAAAUCUCUGCCCAAGGAGGGGGCUGCAGCUCUCCCUGACCCAGGGCAGGCGGCUCACUUUUCCUCUGCCAACAGGGCCUGACAGCAAAGGCUGCUCAGACAGCCAGGGAGGGCAUCUUUGCAGGGUUCUGAGAUGGAGGCUGUAUUUCUCAGAGCAAAUCCCCUUGCUCUGUUUCUUUCAGAAGCCAUGAUGACCUUGUUGAAUCCAGCCAUUCUGCAAGUGCCUGUUUUGACUUUAGGGAUGGAAGUCCUUCCAGGCAUGCCAAGAGGGAAGGAAACAUGGCAGGUGCACUGGCUUUGAAGUUGCCGUGGUGGUUGCAAUCCUGCAUCUGUCUGUUCCUGAUGGGGUGACCUCAGGCAAGUUGCUUGGCCUCCCUGAAUCCCAGUUUUCUAGUGUGCAAGAUGGGGACCAUAUUGCCUUGGGGAUGACUUCAAGGACUGAGAGAGGUAUUUUUUUUUCUUUGAGACAAAGGCCUUGCUCUGUCACCCAAACCGGACAGCAGUGGUGCAAUCACAGCUCACUGCAGCCUCAACCUCCUGGGCUCAAGGGAUCCUCUCACUGCAGCCUCCUGAGUAGCUGGGACUGCAGGCAUGAGCACCAUGCCUGGCUAAUUUUUCAAUUUUUUGUAGAGAUGGAGUCUCACUGUAUUACCCAGUCUAGAGGGAGAUAAAUUCUAAGCUUAGUACAGCACCUGGCUUAUAUGAAGAACUCAGUAAUCAGUGAUAUUUACUUCAUGUAUUUAUAGUUCCUAACAUGGGUGUUUAGUCAGCCUCCCUUUUGCCACAUCUUCCAACUGUUCAGAUAUC